rnacentral:lncRNA from 1 species
CUUUCUCCAUCUAUAAUUUGCCAGUAAGAGAAAUUUUUUGUGCGGUGCAGAAUGCAUGCACCGCACGUAGUGAUUGGCUCACAUGUGGAAUCAAACAGCGAUAUGAAAAAAAAUUAUUUUUUGUCCAACUCCAUACAUGAGCCAAUCACCGCAUGCGAUGUGCGAAUGUGGUGCACAAAAAAUUUCUCUUGCCUAACACGCCUUGCGUGCGGUGCACAAAAAAUUUCUUUGCCAGCAAAUCUGCUUGCCC